rnacentral:tRNA from 2 species
GCAGAUGUCGUAUAGUGGCAGUACAUAACCUUCCCAAGGUUAGAGCGUGGGUUCGAUUCCCAUCAUCUGCUCCA